rnacentral:rRNA from 1 species
CCCAACUUGAAAAUCUCCCUUUGGAGAAUUGUAGUCUAGAGAAGCGCCCUCUGCGGCGGCCGGAGCCUAAGUCCGUUGGAAAACGGCGUCAGAGAGGGUGAGAACCCCGUCGGCUCUAGGCUUAGCUGCUCCACGAGGUGCUUUCCACGAGUCGGGUUGUUUGGGAAUGCAGCCCAAAAUGGGAGGUACAUCCCUUCUAAGGCUAAAUACUGGCGAGAGACCGAUAGCGAACAAGUACCGUGAGGGAAAGAUGAAAAGAACUUUGAAAAGAGAGUUAAAAAGUGCUUGAAAUUGUUGAGAGGGAAGCGUUUGGAGGUUAUAGGUGCGCCUAGGCUUAUACGGUUCUAACGAGCCGUUGUAUGUGCUAGGUGCUGGUCAACAUGGGUUAGCUUGGCGGGAUAACAGCGGGGGUUGAUACCCCGUCUAUGCCGCCGGGUUGAUCAAGGUGUGAAUGGCGCUUUGUCCCUCGGGAACUGC